UACGUAGGGUGCAAGCGUUGUCCGGAAUUAUUGGGCGUAAAGAGCUCGUAGGCGGUUCGUCACGUCGGCUGUGAAAUCCCGAGGCUCAACCUCGGGUCUGCAGUCGAUACGGGCGGACUGGAGUACUGCAGGGGAGACUGGAAAUUCCUGGUGUAGCGGUGAAAUGCGCAGAUAUCAGGAGGAACACCGGUGGCGAAGGCGGGUCUCUGGGCAGUAACUGACGCUGGAGGAGCGAAAGCGUGGGGAGCGAACAGG
rnacentral:rRNA from 1 species